rnacentral:rRNA from 1 species
GACGGAAGGUGCAAGCGUUGCUCGGAAUCACUGGGCGUAAAGGGCGCGUAGGCGGCCGUGCAAGUCUGGCGUGAAAGCCCCGGGCUCAGCCCGGGAAGUGCGCUCGAAACUGCGCGGCUUGAGUGCCGGAGGGGAGAGUGGAAUUCCUGGUGUAGCGGUGAAAUGCGUAGAUAUCAGGAGGAAUACCGGUGGCGAAAGCGACUCUCUGGACGGCAACUGACGCUGAGGCACGAAAGCGUGGGGAGCAAACAGG